GGUCUGGUGAACUUUGUCGGGCAGUUUAUCCCACACCUGUCAACGAGGUCUGAAGCACUGCGUAAAUAUAUAAGAGGAGAAGUUGAAGUUUUUGGGGUAGAUCAGCAAAACGCUUUUGAUGAUUUGCGAAAUGAGCUGUCAAACACUGUUCGCCAACUUGGAUUUUUUGACCCGAAGGAUAAGACAGAACUCUAUGUAGACGCAUCACCAGUGGGCCUUGGAGCAGUACUCACACAGCGGAACAGUGAACAUAUUUCAAGAAUCAUAAGCUUUGCUUCAAAAGGAUUGACAAAAACAGAAAGAGUGUACCCCCAAACUCAGCGCGAAGCGUUGGCGGUCGUAUGGGCUGUCGAAAAAUUCUACCCUUAUCUGUUUGGAACCCAAUUUACAAUAUUCACCGACCACAAAUCUCUUGAGUAUAUCUUCGGAGGAAAGCAUCAACAAGGAAAGCGAGCUUGUUCAAGAGCUGAAGGGUGGGCGUUGCGUCUCCAGCCAUAUGAUUUCUGUGUGAAACAUAUUCCUGGUUCAUCAAACAUUUCAGAUGUGCUCUCCAGGUUAAGCGUACAGGCCAAUUCGAUAUCAGAUACACCUUUCGAUGAAGCAACGGAACAUUACUUGUGUGCAGUUGGUGAUGGCCCGGCAGCAAUUUCUCUACAGGAAAUAAAAAUGGAAACUGAGCAGGAUGAGGUCCUCAAAACAGUGUUGAAAGCAAUACAUAGUCAAAACUGGCCAUCAGACCUUUUCCGGUAUCAAGCAUUCUCGAAAGAGUUAGGAAUAAUUGAUGGCAUUAUAGUCAGAGACGAAAGGAUUAUCUUGCCAACAAUUCUAAGACGAAGAGCCCUGAUAAUAGCCCAUCGGGGGCAUCCCGGAAUAGUCACAAUGCGACGUAACCUGCGUGAAAAGGUAUGGUGGCCACGCAUGGACCAAGAUGUUGGAGACUAUAUUCAAGAGUGUGCUGGAUGUGCAGCAGUAAGUGCUCAGGGGCCGCCAGAGCCUAUGGUGCGGAAACAAAUGCCGGAACGAGCGUGGCAAGAAAUUGCAAUUGAUUUCUUUUCGGCUAAGGAGUGCGCAACAUUUCUUGUUACGGUUGAUUACUACAGUCGCUUCCUUAGAGUUACGGAAAUGAAAGGAACGAACGCAGCGAAGACGAUCGAAGCGCUGGAAUCAUUAUUCCAUGAGCAGACAUACCCAGAAUCGAUCCGGAGUGAUAAUGGGCCACCAUUUUCAAGCGAGGAAUUUUCAAAAUACUGCAAGGAUAAGAACAUUCGACUCAUUCGUACUAUCCCAUAUUGGCCCCAAAUGAAUGGGUUAGUAGAGCGCCAAAACCAGGGUAUUUUGCGGACUCUGCGAAUCGCAAAGGCAAUAAAUGCAGAUUGGCGUAAAGCUGUUCGAGACUAUGUUUACGCAUACAACACGACCCCUCAUUCUGUUACUGGAAAAGCUCCGAUGGAAUUGAUGACCGGUAGACCAGUUAAGGAUCUAUUGCCGUCGCUUAGAACAGAAUCUCAUUGGCAGCGAGAUGAAGAAACUCGAGAAAACGAUGCGAUCAAGAAAAUGCAGGGAAAAAUAUAUGCGGAUCAGCGCAGGCAUGCUAAAGCGUCCGAUAUUGAUGUUGGAGAUGAAGUUUUACUAAGGAAUUACGAAACUGGAAAACUAGAGCCUAAGUUUAAACUGGAAAAGUUCAAAGUUGUCAAGAAAAACGGUAAUGACGUGAUAGUCACAAAUGAUGAAGGUGUUAUUUACCGUCGACCAGCAACUCAUCUUAAGAAAUGGUCACCCGGUAAAGAAGCUGGAACCAACACUUCAACUAUGAGCCGUAAGUACUACUUUCAUUUGAUUAUUUUAAAAAUGUUUUACGUUACGUUUUUUUUCUUCGACCAAGAACAACGUACAGUUGAAAUUCAGUUACUUGCUUGGUUUGACGACGUAUUUUGGGUUUGAGAAAUGCAUUGUUGGAUCUUAUUUUUCUGUGGUCCUACUCACAGUCAUGAUUCGGUCUCCCUUAAUCGAAUCUUUCGACUUUAUAACGUUCCUGCACAUAUCCAAUGUUGUAAUUGGCCCGCGAUUCUUCACAAAAGUCAGUUCUUUAAAAUUCUUUAAAUUUUUGCUAUUUUAAUGCUGAAUUUUAUAACGUAGCGCACAGAGCCCACCCAGAACUCGGACGCACCAGAAGGAGACUUAGACGAAACGAGUAGAAUGAUGUUGGGGAAGGAAGGCAAGUCGGGAGCAUUUAAGAGACAGGCCAAAGAACACACCAUGCCAAAACGUCCUAAGCGUGAGAAGAAACUACCCGCUAGAUUUAGUUCAUAGUUUAAAGUUUGGUUGAUAGAACCAUUUUUAUUAGAGUAGAGAAGGGAUGUAGAGUUGAUGAAAUAUAAUCAUGACCAACCCUAUAACAAAAUGUCAUUGCAUAGCCCCUCGCUGCGAUAUUCAAAAGAGCGAACGUUAAAUUAAAAGAAAGAGUAAAAAGAAGAAAAUCUAGUUUUGGAGGCAGAGUUGUUUGAACUACGGUUGAGAGUGGUCGCGA